UACGUUCCCGGGCCUUGUACACACCGCCCGUCACACCACGAAAGUCGGUAACACCCGAAGCCGGUGGCCCAACCCUUGUGGAGGGAGCCGUCGAAGGUGGGAUCGGCGAUUGGGGUG
rnacentral:rRNA from 1 species